GUAUUUUCUCGAUAUUUGACUCGAUUUUUAAAUUGUUUUCGAGAUAUUUUUUCUAAAUUCGGUUAUUGGUUCAAAGAUGUGCAAGUCGUACGUGUUAUUCUUCCCGGGAAAGACAACAAAAUUCAAACCUCGCUGUCCUCGCAAAAUAUGAGCAAAGCCAAAGAGGAUAUUUGAAUCAGCGAGCUAUAAACAGGUAUUUGACCGUAUUUCAUUCAAUUUUAUUUAUGCUUUAUCUUAUCUCACAUAAAAUUGGUAGGCUUAACUUAAGCUUGACGAUGAAAUGCACUCUUUUUGUUAAGAAAACAGCCUUUUGCUGUUUUUUUGGUGUAAUUUGGCAUCUGUAUAUUUCAAAAUUUGGUUGCAGAAACUACAACUUUUUGUUAUUUAUAAAUUACUUUAGAAAAUGCUAUUAACUCCAGACGUUCCUUCAAAGCAAACGGU